GGGGUUGUGGCUCAGUGGUAGAGCAUAUACCUAGCAUGUGUGAGGCCCUGGGUUAGAUUCUCAACACCA
rnacentral:tRNA from 1 species